GGCUUCUGUUUUAGUUUGACGGUGGUGGUGUUUCACAAUAGAAAUCAUUUACCAGAGUCCAGAGUUUUUCUCAUAAUCUCAUCAUCAUCGAGUUCCAUCAUCGAGUUCGAUCCCCUCUGAUUCAGUAGAAGAAGAAGUCGAAGCAGUUUUAUACGAGACUGGAGUCUGCGAGAUUCAGAUCGGUGGAGAGAAGAGCGUUUCGUAUCGAAGAUCGUUGGGGUACGACCGUACGAGAAAGAAGAGGAGAGAUUGAAGAUUUUGGUCGAAGAGGUUGCUGGGUUUUCGAAGAGGUUGCUGAUAAGCUGUUUGCUCCAAAAAAAACUAACUUCCAAAAGCCUUACUUGAAAUCAAGAGCUUGGACGUGUUUUGAUUAUCAUUUAUUUUGCAGAGCUCUGAUCACGUCAUAUGCAGCUGGGUUGUUUAUAGCUCAGCUGAAAUUUCGGAGGACUUAUCAUUUGUUGCAAAUGACGAAUCAGACUUUGUACACAAACACCUAGAAUGAUUGACAUUAUUACUGUAUUUUCCAAUUACAACAGCUCGGCUGAAAUUUCGGAGGACUUAUCAUUUGUUGCAAAUGACGAAUCAGACUUUGUACACAAACACCUACUGUUGUUAGGAUAUAAUAUAUAAUGUAGCAAUUAAUAUAACAAUGUUUCUAAAUUCAGUAGCAUCGAAUCAAACAAUAUUGCUCAUAUUCCCGCAGCAUCGCGCGGGUGCAUUUUCUUGUACAUAUAUCUAAAUCCCGGUUAACUGUUCAUCGCUGUGCAAAAUGAAGUGGCCCUUUUGCCCUUUCUGUUUCGCUCAAUUACAAGUUUGCCAUUCUUCUACACCCUUCUUACGAUGGUCUCUAUUUUAGUCUGACGGUGGUGGUGUUUCACAAUAGAAAUCAUUUACUAGAGUCCAGAGUUUUUCUCAUAAUCUCAUCAUCAUCGAGUUCGAUCCCCUCUGAUUCAGUAGAAGAAGAAGUCGAAGCAGUUUUAUACGAGACUGGAGUCUGUUAGAUUCAGAUCGGUGGAGAGAAGAGCGUUUCGUAUCGAAGAUCGUUGGGGUACGAGAAAGAAGAGGAGAGAUUGAAGAUUUUGGUCGAAAAGAUUAUAUGCAAAGAAGUGUGUGUAUUAUUCUUCUGCCGCUGUUCCUCUGUACAUUGUUUGGAAGUAUCUCACCGUCUUAUUGCUAUUCAGAUCUAGAGGACAGCGUGCUGUCAGUCUCUUUUGCUGUUUCGGGUUUAGAUAGAAAUUUUACAGUGAUGGCACCAAAAACUAUGAUGAGAGGAGCAAAAAGAUUGUUAGAACAGUGAUGCUGAAAAUCGUCAGAAUCAACAGAAAAUUCAACGAAUCUGCAGUGGUGAGGGCUUUGUUGCAACAAGAACUAGAUGUAAUCGUGUUGAUCAGGUUAAAUCACGUAGAUGGAAAACAGUGUCUUAUCCAGAAAUUGCUGAAGUAUCAAAUAGCAACGACCAAAAUAUCACUGCAGUUGCGAACGAAAAUCCGCAUAUGAUUACAGAAGGUCAAUACUCUCAUCCAUUUGGUCAAGCAUCAUAUCAAAGAAGCAAGCAAGGAUCAAUUGUAAAAUAUGAGGAUUCGGGUGAUAAUGUUCAUGAAUGUGAUUAUUGCAAUGCAUCUUUUUGGUUCGGAGAAGCUGUUAAGCAAUCAUCUUCAAAUGAGCCUCUCAUUUAUACAAAAUGUUGCAAAAGAGGUCAAAUCAAAAUUGAGCAGCCAAAACCAACACCAAUUUUUCUUGAAAGAUUAUUAGAUCCAAA